CAUACCCCCAUGACGUCACGGGACUCAGGUAGCCGCUCAGUGGCUAAUCCGUAAUUGGUGGCUAUGCCAUUGUUUUUAUAAAAUCGGAUGAAUUAGACCGGCUCUUUGGAGCCUUCCCGGUGUGCCGGUAUUCGCUGAUGAUGCCCGGUGCCUUUGCUACUGGUGCAGCAAGGUAUGUGUGAUCACAGUUUUGUCUAGAUGACUGCAACCAUCUAGAGAUGUGUAUUUAAACAUAUAUUGUUCAUUCUCAGGAGCCAGAGUCCCCGUGGCGUCUAAUCCCAGUCUUGUGGCUUUCCCCCCCCCCUCUCCGUGUUGUGGAGGUGAGCUUGUAAAUAUCAUUUGUUAUAGGCGUAGCUCAUGUUAAACAUUUGUCCACUAAUUGUAUGUAACAUGUACUGAUCCGUGUGUGUGUAUGUUCGCCUGAUUCCAGACACCUCAGAGUACGUCGAGGGUCUCUGUGGGCAGACUGCUUGCGGCAGCUGCUCACCGCUGUUUUGCCCAUAGCCAAAAUAUUUUAGCCUUUCUGUUUUUGUUUGUUUGUUUGAUUUUCUUUUACCUGUCCGCCGCUUCAGCUUGUCACAUUGUUAUUUUACGGGGUUUGGCUGUCACAGUUCUAGGCCUGUAUGCUGCUCUAGUCGGGGCAGGGCCAUACAGUAGACUAGUAGUUUGAGUGUGUAUUAUUAUACGGAUUUAUUCUGUGUGUAGUGGAUAUCCACACUGAUUGUGCAUUUAAUCACUUACAUAGCGUAGUGAGCCUAUGAGCGUGUGUGUGUGACUGGUGUUUACCAUAGGCCCUUGGUUUCGUGCACGAGUGGUGAACUAAUUUAUUCUCGACUAGUAAACCUGCCCGGCUAGCCUGGCUCGGUGACACCCUUUAUCCUGUGGCAGCCAACCCCGUUCUUGAGCAUUACUGUUUUUAUCCCAGCGGCGCAGGGUUUUAACUGUUGACUUAAAUUGUAUUAAUAAAGAAAAGAUUGUUAUUCCUUUAAACAAAGGUACGUCUCUUGUGCAUUCUAUCCGAACCUGUUGUGCCUUAUUGGUUGAAAUCAAAAUAUAUUCUGGGGUGGCAGUCCCCCAGUGGCGUAGUCGUGCAAUUACAAGUAUCAGUUUGAUGAUCAUUAUUUUAGGAAAACUAACAUCUAAAGGUCCACCUUACUACAUUUUGGCCUAUAGUCGGCAGAGAUAGAUGUAUCAAAGAGACGUGUCCUUUUUUUAGCUUUGAGUUUAUUUUUAUUUUUUUGAAAGGCUGGUUGUAAUUAGGGGCAAAACAGCGGUGGGCCAGUGUGGGGUGCCGAGCAGCAGAGCUUUGUGACCAUCUCCUCCAUCUCCCUGUGCACUGUCGUGGCCUUCCUGACCAACAUGGAAGAUGACUCCCAGGAGUGGCUGGAGAUAAAGAGCACCAUGAGGCGGCAACAGGAGCAGUUGCAACAGAUAUCACAGUGGGUGGACGCUCUGCAUCGGUCUCCACCAAGGUCGCAGGCAAGUCCCAUCAUAUGCUGGCGGUGCCAGGAACCAGGACAUUUUGCACGGGACUGUGAUGGGGUACGAGCGCCACCCCGAGCACAGCCAUCACCGGCAGCACAGCGGGGGGGCAAUGGACGGCCUUCUCCACGUCAACCCACGGGAGGACGGCCGUCUCCAGAGCAGAGGACUCGCUGUUCGGGUGGGGUGUGGCCGGGCGUGAGGAGCUGGCCGCCCAUGUCAACUCCCUCAAGUUCAUACUGUGUCCUCCUGCAAUGUGUGUGCAUGUGUGUGUGCGUUGCCUUGAUGGUGAUGAUCCAACUGUUUUCUACUCCAUAGAUGGAGUGUCAGUGUGAGUGGUGACCCAGGAUGGUGUGCGUACGGAUAUGCGCACGCCAGGGAGUGUAUGCAUGUGCGUGCGUUUGCCUGUCUGAAUGCUGCCUGCGUGUAUGCACCUGCCUUCCCACAUGCUUGUGCGUACCAGUGUGAAUGGGUGCGUCUGCCCUGUGUAUGUGCUGUGGAACCACCCGUGUGAUUUGUCCAGAGUGAGACCGUUCUCUGGCUGGCCUGCCUGCAUGUGUGCGCCGUGUGAAAGUGUCUGUCUGCGUGUGAAAGCUGCCUGUGCGUGCGAAAGGAAUGGUGAUCCUGUGACCCGAUACCCUGGGAUGGUUGACUAGCAUUGGGGUGGGUUAGUUAUUAGUGUGUGUUUUUGUGUCGUCGGGACGACGACAAGAACGCUGGGGGAAAAUGUAACAGGGCGCACUGCCUGUUAAGUAAGGUGUGUCCCUCAGCAGUUCCCAUACCCCCAUGACGUCACGGGACUCAGGUAGCCGCUCAGUGGCUAAUCCGUAAUUGGUGGCUAUGCCAUUGUUUUUAUAAAAUCAAAUGAAUUAGACCGGCUCUUUGGAGCCUUCCCGGUGUGCCGGUAUUCGCUGAUGAUGCCCGGUGCCUUUGCUACUGGUGCAGCAAGGAGCCAGAGUCCCCGUGGCGUCUAAUCCCAGUCUUGUGGCUUUCCCCCCCUCUCCGUGUUGUGGAGACACCUCAGAGUACGUCGAGGGUCUCUGUGGGCAGACUGCUUGCGGCAGCUGCUCACCGCUGUUUUGCCCAUAGCCAAAAUAUUUUAGCCUUUCUGUUUUUGUUUGUUUGUUUGAUUUUCUUUUACCUGUCCGCCGCUUCAGCUUGUCACAUUGUUAUUUUACGGGGUUUGGCUGUCACAGUUCUAGGCCUGUAUGCUGCUCUAGUCGGGGCAGGGCCAUACAGUAGACUAGUAGUUUGAGUGUGUAUUAUUAUACGGAUUUAUUCUGUGUGUAGUGGAUAUCCACACUGAUUGUGCAUUUAAUCACUUACAUAGCGUAGUGAGCCUAUGAGCGUGUGUGUGUGACUGGUGUUUACCAUAGGCCCUUGGUUUCGUGCACGAGUGGUGAACUAAUUUAUUCUCGACUAGUAAACCUGCCCGGCUAGCCUGGCUCGGUGACACCCUUUAUCCUGUGGCAGCCAACCCCGUUCUUGAGCAUUACUGUUUUUAUCCCAGCGGCGCAGGGUUUUAACUGUUGACUUAAAUUGUAUUAAUAAAGAAAAGAUUGUUAUUCCUUUAAACAAAGGUACGUCUCUUGUGCAUUCUAUCCGAACCUGUUGUGCCUUAUUGGUUGAAAUCAAAAUAUAUUCUGGGGUGGCAGUCCCCCAGUGGCGU